GGGGGGAGGGCGCAGGCUACACAUGCAGUCGAGCGGGGGAAGGUAGCUUGCUACUGGACCUAGCGGCGGACGGGUGACUAUUGCUUAGGAAUCUGCCUAUUAGUGGGGGACAACAUCUCGACAGGGAUGCUAAUACCGCAUACGUCCUACGGGAGAAAGCAGGGGAUCUUCGGACCUUGCGCUAAUAGAUGAGCCUAAGUCGGAUUAGCUAGUUGGUGGGGUAAAGGCCUACCAAGGCGACGAUCUGUAGCGGGUCUGAGAGGAUGAUCCGCCACACUGGGACUGAGACACGGCCCAGACUCCUACGGGAGGCAGCAGUGGGGAAUAUUGGACAAUGGGCGCAAGCCUGAUCCAGCCAUGCCGCGUGUGUGAAGAAGGCCUUAUGGUUGUAAAGCACUUUAAGCGAGGAGGAGGCUACUUUAGAUAAUACCUAGAGAUAGUGGACGUUACUCGCAGAAUAAGCACCGGCUAACUCUGUGCCAGCAGCCGCGGUAAUACAGAGGGUGCAAGCGUUAAUCGGAUUUACUGGGCGUAAAGCGCGCGUAGGCGGCUAAUUAAGUCAAAUGUGAAAUCCCCGAGCUUAACUUGGGAAUUGCAUUCGAUACUGGUUAGCUAGAGUGUGGGAGAGGAUGGUAGAAUUCCAGGUGUAGCGGUGAAAUGCGUAGAGAUCUGGAGGAAUACCGAUGGCGAAGGCAGCCAUCUGGCCUAACACUGACGCUGAGGUGCGAAAGCAUGGGGAGCAAACAGGAUUAGAUACCCUGGUAGUCCAUGCCGUAAACGAUGUCUACUAGCCGGUGGGGCCUUUGAGGCUUUAGUGGCGCAGCUUACGCGAUAAGUAGAACGCCUGGGGAGUACGGGCGCAAGACUUAAACUCAAAUGAAUUGACG
rnacentral:rRNA from 1 species